GACGAACGCUGGCGGCGUGCUUAACACAUGCAAGUCGAACGGAAAGGCCCUGCUUGCAGGGUACUCGAGUGGCGAACGGGUGAGUAACACGUGGGUGAUCUGCCCUGCACUUCGGGAUAAGCCUGGGAAACUGGGUCUAAUACCGGAUAGGAGCCAUUUUUAGUGUGAUGGUUGGAAAGUUUUUUCGGUGUAGGAUGAGCUCGCGGCCUAUCAGGUUGUUGGUGGGGUAAUGGCUUACCAAGGCGGCGACGGGUAGCCGGCCUGAGAGGGUGGACGGCCACAUUGGGACUGAGAUACGGCCCAGACUCCUACGGGAGGCAGCAGUGGGGAAUAUUGCACAAUGGGCGCAAGCCUGAUGCAGCGACGCCGCGUGGGGGAUGACGGCCUUCGGGUUGUAAACUCCUUUCGCUAGGGACGAAGCUUUUUGUGACGGUACCUAGAUAAGAAGCACCGGCUAACUACGUG
rnacentral:rRNA from 1 species